ensembl:lncRNA
ACCCCGUCCCCAGACGUCCCUCCUGUGAAAGGGGCCGACGCUCAGUGAGGCAUCGCUGGGUAAAGACAGACAUGUGACCCAGCGCUAGUGGAGCAGCUAGUGGAUUAGCACCCUCGCUACGGCUCAAAAAAACCCACUCUUUAAUACCCUCCCCCCUCCUCCCCCUCUCCUCCCCCUCUCACCGGUCAGGUCCUCUUUGUUGUUGUUGUCCUUUUAACUUCUCUGCUCCCUCUUUUCUCCUCGCUCUCCCGACUCUCUCUCUCUCUCUCGGACCGGAGGGGAGGGGGGGUUGGGGGUCGCCCGGGGUCAGGUUCCCCCUCGGAGGGGAGAGGGGCCCCCAAGACCCUGCCUCGUCCCGGCGGGAGGGGCCCCUGGAUGUAGCGGGCGGGUGUCGGGGUGACAGAGUCCGUCCUCCCCUGAACCCCACCUCCUCCUCCCCCUCCUCCUCCUCCUCCGUGUCUCGGUUAUAAUCCCUCCGACAACGCGCUCCUCGCAGCGGAGCGGAGAGCAGGAGCAGCAGGAGGAGGAGGAGGAGGAGGAGGAGGAGGAGGAGGAGGUGCUGUGGUCCUGGCGGAGAGGAGGCGCAGACACCGGCGUAGGGUCCAGGUAAAGGAGUCCCAGAAAGUAGACAACUAACAAGGACCUCUCUCUCUGUAACUCGGUCUCUCUCUAUCGGUCUCUCUCUCUCUCUCUCUCUCUCUCUCUGUCUCUCUGUCCCUCUCUCUCUCUCUCUGUGUCUGUGUGUCCCGGUGUCUGGCUGUGCAGGCAGAAACACACACACACACACACAAACACACACACUCGUUCAGACACACGGAUUGCACGCUGCACGGGUUUCGGGCGAGAGACUCUGUUCUACAGCGGAGCGAGCGAGGCGGGCUUUAAUAGACUUUCCCGGCUCCUCCCACCCGGGCCCCUUUCGGCCACGCCCCCUCGGCCGAGCCCGCCAAUCACACGCCGGCUCGGGAGGCCUCGGCAGGGCAAGCGGGGAGGAGCCCACAUGUGGGAGCAGUGCUCUCAUUGGCCGGUGCCGGCGAGAGCCCGACCAAUCGCGUCCCCUCCCCCCCCGCAGACAACAAAACAGUGAGUGGGGAUUUUCAU